GCCGGCUGAUCCUCCUAUCAGAAAGUUGUCACCGGCAAUAAAGUUAUCAGAACUUAGAAACAUCGUAACAACUUAAAUUGCUUCGCGUUCGAUUACGCGGUAAACGGAACGUAGGCAUGAAACAACGUUAAACAUCGACCGCUGUGGUCUACCUUUAAUUUCCUCGCCGCGGAAGAAUUAUUCUCACGCGACGCGUGUCUCGAGCCUGCUCUCUAAUGUGCAAUGAAACUUACGCAACAAACGACACGCGAUAUUAACAUUAAACUUGAUAUCAAAUCUUUGUCGUACGACUCCUUUUACAGCAAAGUUAUCUUGUUAAGACGAAAAUCAUUACGCUGCCUGAGGUUCGACGCAAUUAUAAUUUAUGAAGGUGACGGUUCGCAAUCGGGUUGAGAAGAUUACGCGUAUGCAAAACAUCUAAUUAGUCAGAGAGAGAAUAGCGACGUAACUGGCUCUAAAC
rnacentral:misc_RNA from 1 species